GAUGAACGCUAGCGGCAGGCCUAAUACAUGCAAGUCGAACGCUCAGUAGCAAUACUGGGAGUGGCGCACGGGUGCGUAACGCGUACACAAUCUACCUCUAAGCGGGGACACCUCCUGGAAACGGGGAUUAAUACCGCAUAAUAUGCCGAAGUCGCAUGACUUUGGUAUUAAAGCAGCAAUGCACUUAGAGAUGAGUGUGCGUCCCAUUAGGUAGUUGGUGAGGUAACGGCUCACCAAGCCUAUGAUGGGUAGCCCGGUCUGAGAGGAUGGUCGGCCACACGGGCACUGAGACACGGGCCCGAUCCUACGGGAGGCAGCAGUAAGGAAUAUUGGUCAAUGGUGGAAACACUGAACCAGCCAUGCCGCGUGGAGGAAU
rnacentral:rRNA from 1 species